AGGUGGUAAUUCCCAUCUAAGGCUAAAUACGGGCGAAAGACCGAUAGCGAACAAGUACCGUGAGGGAAAGAUGAAAAGAACUCUGAAAAGAGAGUCAAAAGCACUUGAAAUCGUUGAGGGGUAACCGAGCA
rnacentral:rRNA from 1 species